rnacentral:rRNA from 1 species
GGGUUGUGAGGUUAAGCGACUAAGCGUACACGGUGGAUGCCCUGGCAGUCAGAGGCGAUGAAGGACGUGCUAAUCUGCGAUAAGCGUCGGUAAGGUGAUAUGAACCGUUAUAACCGGCGAUUUCCGAAUGGGGAAACCCAGUGUGAUUCGUCACACUAUCAUUAACUGAAUCCAUAGGUUAAUGAGGCGAACCGGGGGAACUGAAACAUCUAAGUACCCCGAGGAAAAGAAAUCAACCGAGAUUCCCCCAGUAGCGGCGAGCGAACGGGGAGGAGCCCAGAGCCUGAAUCAGUGUGUGUGUUAGUGGAAGCGUCUGGAAAGGCGCGCGAUACAGGGUGACAGCCCCGUACACAAAAAUGCACAUGCUGUGAGCUCGAUGAGUAGGGCGGGACACGUGGUAUCCUGUCUGAAUAUGGGGGGACCAUCCUCCAAGGCUAAAUACUCCUGACUGACCGAUAGUGAACCAGUACCGUGAGGGAAAGGCGAAAAGAACCCCGGCGAGGGGAGUGAAAAAGAACCUGAAACCGUGUACGUACAAGCAGUGGGAGCACAGAGCAAUCUGUGUGACUGCGUACCUUUUGUAUAAUGGGUCAGCGACUUAUAUUCUGUAGCAAGGUUAACCGAAUAGGGGAGCCGAAGGGAAACCGAGUCUUAACCGGGCGUUAAGUUGCAGGGUAUAGACCCGAAACCCGGUGAUCUAGCCAUGGGCAGGUUGAAGGUUGGGUAACACUAACUGGAGGACCGAACCGACUAAUGUUGAAAAAUUAGCGGAUGACUUGUGGCUGGGGGUGAAAGGCCAAUCAAACCGGGAGAUAGCUGGUUCUCCCCGAAAGCUAUUUAGGUAGCGCCUCGUGAAUUCAUCUCCGGGGGUAGAGCACUGUUUCGGCAAGGGGGUCAUCCCGACUUACCAACCCGAUGCAAACUGCGAAUACCGGAGAAUGUUAUCACGGGAGACACACGGCGGGUGCUAACGUCCGUCGUGAAGAGGGAAACAACCCAGACCGCCAGCUAAGGUCCCAAAGUCAUGGUUAAGUGGGAAACGAUGUGGGAAGGCCCAGACAGCCAGGAUGUUGGCUUAGAAGCAGCCAUCAUUUAAAGAAAGCGUAAUAGCUCACUGGUCGAGUCGGCCUGCGCGGAAGAUGUAACGGGGCUAAACCAUGCACCGAAGCUGCGGCAGCGACACUGUGUGUUGUUGGGUAGGGGAGCGUUCUGUAAGCCUGUGAAGGUGUACUGUGAGGUAUGCUGGAGGUAUCAGAAGUGCGAAUGCUGACAUAAGUAACGAUAAAGCGGGUGAAAAGCCCGCUCGCCGGAAGACCAAGGGUUCCUGUCCAACGUUAAUCGGGGCAGGGUGAGUCGACCCCUAAGGCGAGGCCGAAAGGCGUAGUCGAUGGGAAACAGGUUAAUAUUCCUGUACUUGGUGUUACUGCGAAGGGGGGACGGAGAAGGCUAUGUUGGCCGGGCGACGGUUGUCCCGGUUUAAGCGUGUAGGCUGGUUUUCCAGGCAAAUCCGGAAAAUCAAGGCUGAGGCGUGAUGACGAGGCACUACGGUGCUGAAGCAACAAAUGCCCUGCUUCCAGGAAAAGCCUCUAAGCAUCAGGUAACAUCAAAUCGUACCCCAAACCGACACAGGUGGUCAGGUAGAGAAUACCAAGGCGCUUGAGAGAACUCGGGUGAAGGAACUAGGCAAAAUGGUGCCGUAACUUCGGGAGAAGGCACGCUGAUAUGUAGGUGAAGUCCCUCGCGGAUGGAGCUGAAAUCAGUCGAAGAUACCAGCUGGCUGCAACUGUUUAUUAAAAACACAGCACUGUGCAAACACGAAAGUGGACGUAUACGGUGUGACGCCUGCCCGGUGCCGGAAGGUUAAUUGAUGGGGUCAGCGCAAGCGAAGCUCUUGAUCGAAGCCCCGGUAAACGGCGGCCGUAACUAUAACGGUCCUAAGGUAGCGAAAUUCCUUGUCGGGUAAGUUCCGACCUGCACGAAUGGCGUAAUGAUGGCCAGGCUGUCUCCACCCGAGACUCAGUGAAAUUGAACUCGCUGUGAAGAUGCAGUGUACCCGCGGCAAGACGGAAAGACCCCGUGAACCUUUACUAUAGCUUGACACUGAACAUUGAGCCUUGAUGUGUAGGAUAGGUGGGAGGCUUUGAAGUGUGGACGCCAGUCUGCAUGGAGCCGACCUUGAAAUACCACCCUUUAAUGUUUGAUGUUCUAACGUGGACCCGUGAUCCGGGUUGCGGACAGUGUCUGGUGGGUAGUUUGACUGGGGCGGUCUCCUCCUAAAGAGUAACGGAGGAGCACGAAGGUUGGCUAAUCCUGGUCGGACAUCAGGAGGUUAGUGCAAUGGCAUAAGCCAGCUUGACUGCGAGCGUGACGGCGCGAGCAGGUGCGAAAGCAGGUCAUAGUGAUCCGGUGGUUCUGAAUGGAAGGGCCAUCGCUCAACGGAUAAAAGGUACUCCGGGGAUAACAGGCUGAUACCGCCCAAGAGUUCAUAUCGACGGCGGUGUUUGGCACCUCGAUGUCGGCUCAUCACAUCCUGGGGCUGAAGUAGGUCCCAAGGGUAUGGCUGUUCGCCAUUUAAAGUGGUACGCGAGCUGGGUUUAGAACGUCGUGAGACAGUUCGGUCCCUAUCUGCCGUGGGCGCUGGAGAACUGAGGGGGGCUGCUCCUAGUACGAGAGGACCGGAGUGGACGCAUCACUGGUGUUCGGGUUGUCAUGCCAAUGGCACUGCCCGGUAGCUAAAUGCGGAAGAGAUAAGUGCUGAAAGCAUCUAAGCACGAAACUUGCCCCGAGAUGAGUUCUCCCUGACCCUUUAAGGGUUCUGAAGGAACGUUGAAGACGACGACGUUGAUAGGCCGGGUGUGUAAGCGCAGCGAUGCGUUGAGCUAACCGGUACUAAUGAACCGUGAGGCUUAACCUUACAACGCCGAAGGUGUUU